AUACAGAGGGUGCAAGCGUUAAUCGGAAUUACUGGGCGUAAAGCGCGCGUAGGUGGUUUGUUAAGUUGGAUGUGAAAGCCCCGGGCUCAACCUGGGAACUGCAUCCAAAACUGGCAAGCUAGAGUACGGUAGAGGGUGGUGGAAUUUCCUGUGUAGCGGUGAAAUGCGUAGAUAUAGGAAGGAACACCAGUGGCGAAGGCGACCACCUGGACUGAUACUGACACUGAGGUGACGAAAGCGGUGGGGAGAC
rnacentral:rRNA from 1 species